GCCGAGGUGGUGAAAUGGUAGACACGCGGGACUCAAAAUCCCGUGGGCCCAAAAGCCCGUGACGGUUCGAGUCCGUCCCUCGGCA
rnacentral:tRNA from 1 species